GAUGAACGCUGGCGGUAUGCUUAACACAUGCAAGUCGAACGAGAGUUUUUAACUCUAGUGGCGAACGGGUGCGUAAUACGUGAGAAUCUGCCCCUAGGAGAAGAAUAACUACUGGAAACGGUAGCUAAGUCUUCAUAUGCUGAGAGGUAAAAUAGUUUAAACUGCCUAGGGAUGAGCUCACGCCUGAUUAGCUUGUUGGUGAGGUAAUGGCUCACCAAGGCCAUGAUCAGUAGCUGGUUUGAGAGAACGAUCAGCCACACUGGGACUGAGACACGGCCCAGACUCCUCCGGGAGGCAGCAGUGAGGAAUUUUCCGCAAUGGGCGAAAGCCUGACGGAGCAAUACCGCGUGAGGGAUGAAGUAUCUUGGUAUGUAAACCUCUUUUCUCAAGAAAGAAGUUCUGACGGUACUUGAGGAAUAAGCAUCGGCUAACUCCGUGCCAGCAGCCGCGGUAA
rnacentral:rRNA from 1 species